rnacentral:rRNA from 1 species
AUUGAACGCUGGCGGCAUGCCUUACACAUGCAAGUCGAACGGCAGCACGGGUGCUUGCACCUGGUGGCGAGUGGCGAACGGGUGAGUAAUAUAUCGGAACGUACCUUAUUGUGGGGGAUAACGCAGCGAAAGCUGUGCUAAUACCGCAUAAUCCCUAAGGGGGAAAGCGGGGGACCGUAAGGCCUCGCGCAAGUCGAGCGGGCGAUACCUGAUUAGCUAGUUGGGGAGGUAAAGGCUCACCAAGGAAACGAUCAGUAGCUGGUCUGAGAGGACGAUCAGCCACACUGGGACUGAGACACGGCCCAGACUCCUACGGGAGGCAGCAGUGGGGAAUUUUGGACAAUGGGGGCAACCCUGAUCCAGCAAUGCCGCGUGAGUGAAGAAGGCCUUCGGGUUGUAAAGCUCUUUUGUCAGGGAAGAAACAGCAGCUCUAACACAGUAUGCGAAUGACGGUACCUGAAGAAUAAGCACCGGCUAACUACGUGCCAGCCGCCGCCGUAA